UUUGUUAUCGCUAUGUCACCUUAAGCUGAAUCACAAUUUUCAUUCUCAAGGUGAAUUGUGAAAAAUCUUUUGCCAAUUAAAAGAAAGUCACCACCAGAAAAAUAACAAUACCUAACCAUCUAAAAUGCAAAUGAGUGAAACUCUUUUAUUACCAGAAGUACUAAAAGCAUAUUUAAGAAAAUAAUAGAAGACAAAACGCUUAAAUCCAAACAACACUUCUGCCUUAUAGAAAGGGAAAAUUCCACCAUUCAUUUCACAAGCACAAAAUGAGAUUUAUCAUUAAUUUUUUGAAGUCAAGCAUAUCCCAUGAAAUUAUCAUCAAAGUCAAGCCCCUCUAGGCUAUAAACAAUUCCAAUCAACAACUUACAUAUUGAAAGGUAAACCUAUUAAGGACAAAAAAUCUCACCUCUAGUUUUUAA
rnacentral:lncRNA from 1 species